GCUGGAUGCAGUCAUUGGAGAAAUCCAACAGUCACCCAAAUACAGGAUACAGAAUGAUGAAAUCCUUCCUUCGAGCCAGAAGACUGCUGGUGCAGACAACAAGAGUACGGGACUCCUUAAGAAGAAUGGACCCGAUUGGGACUGGAGUGCGAGCGUUAGCCAAUCGCACACUAAGGCGGAGGCAAUAUUCUGUUCCUGCACCAAAUGCAAUGUGGCACAUUGAUGGAAACCACAAAUUAAUACAGUAUUUUUUUCAGAAUUUUUACAUACAUGCACUAGUGACUCAUUUCACUUUCCCACAACUUGUCAUUUUUGUUUUUACACCAACAGCUGGAGGUUUCUUGUCCAUGGUGGCAUUGAUGGUUUUAGCCGUUUAAUUGUUUAUCUGUCUGCUGCAACAAACAACCGAGCAGCUACAAUGUUGGAGGCCUUCAUUGGUGCAGUCAACAAAUAUGGUCUGCCAUCACGUGUGCGCUCUGACAAGGGUGGUGAGAACAUCGAGGUUGCCCAGUUCAUGGUGGAAUCCAGAGGAGAGAACCGGGACUCUCACAUUACUGGAAGGAGUGUUCACAACCAACGAUGAGAGUUAAUCAUUGCACAACAGCAUCAGUGCAUUUCUCUUCUAUUCACUGUACUGUGGAGAGAAAAUAGAUUAAAUGCGAUUUUUGCGUGCUUAAUUCUACAUUUGUAACUCAUAUAAUACAUUUUGUGCAUAUGUGCAAAAAUUACAAAAUAAAAAAAAAA